CCCCUAGAUGUUCUGGGCCGCACGCGCGCUACACUGAACAGUUCAACAAGUCUUAACCUUGGCCGAUAGGUCUGGGUAAUCUUUGAACGCUGUUCGUGAUUGGGAUAGACCUUUGCAAUUAUGGGUCUUCAACGAGGAAUUCCUAGUAAACGCAAGUCAUCAGCUUGCAUUGAUUACGUCCCUACCCUUUGUACACACCGCCCGUCGCACCUACCGAUUGAAUGGUCCGGUGAAAUCUCGGGACGGCGGCUUGGUCGCUUGCGUCCGACUGCUGAAACUUGAUUAAACCAUAUCAUUUAGAGGAAGGUGAANUCGUAACA
rnacentral:rRNA from 1 species